rnacentral:rRNA from 1 species
UAGGGAAUCUUCCACAAUGGACGGCAAGUCUGGAUGGAGCGACGCCGCGUGAGUGAAGAAGGUCUUCGGAUCGUAAAACUCUGUUGUUAGAGAAGAACACGAGUGAGAGUAACUGUUCAUUCGAUGACGGUAUCUAACCAGCAAGUCACGGCUAACUACGUGCAAG